GCACAACAUUAAUCAAGUUGUAUCUUUGCCUGUGUCAUGUUCCUCUUCUUCCUCUCCAGAAGAAAGUUCCCUCCAUACUCUGGAUGUGGCCAGAUGUUUGAGAAUCUACAUUGAGAGAUCCCGGGAGUUCAGAAGCCUGUCAUCACUCC